rnacentral:rRNA from 1 species
CCUACGGGUGGCAGCAGUGAGGAAUAUUGGUCAAUGGACGCAAGUCUGAACCAGCCAUGCCGCGUGCAGGAAGACGGCUCUAUGAGUUGUAAACUGCUUUUGUACGAGGGUAAACCCAGAUACGCGUAUCUGGUUGAAAGUAUCGUACGAAUAAGGAUCGGCUAACUCCGUGCCAGCAGCCGCGGUAAUACGGAGGAUUCAAGCGUUAUCCGGAUUUAUUGGGUUUAAAGGGUGCGUAGGCGGUAGGAUAAGUUAGAGGUGAAAUCCCGGGGCUCAACUCCGGAAUUGCCUCUGAUACUGUCCGGCUAGAGUGUAGUUGCGGUAGGCGGAAUGUAUGGUGUAGCGGUGAAAUGCUUAGAGAUCAUACAGAACACCGAUUGCGAAGGCAGCUUACCAAGCUACGACUGACGUUGAGGCACGAAAGCGUGGGGAGCAAACAGGAUUAGAUACCCUGGUAGUC